GACGAACGCUGGCGGCGUGCUUAACACAUGCAAGUCGAGCGGAAAGGCCCUUUCGGGGGUACUCGAGCGGCGAACGGGUGAGUAACACGUGAGUAAUCUGCCCCUGGCUUUGGGAUAGCCACCGGAAACGGUGAUUAAUACCGGAUACGACCACUUCUCGCAUGGGAUGGUGGUGGAAAGUUUUUCGGCCAGGGAUGUGCUCGCGGCCUAUCAGCGUGAUGGUGAGGUAACGGCUCACCAUGGCUUCGACCGGUAGCCGGCCUGAGAGGGUGACCGGUCAAACUGGGACUGAGACACGGCCCAGACUCCUACGGGAGGCAGCAGUGGGGAAUAUUGGACAAUGGGCGGAAGCCUGAUCCAGCAACGCCGCGUGAGGGAUGACGGCCUUCGGGUUGUAAACCUCUUUCAGCAGGGACGAAGCGCAAGUGACGGUACCUGCAGAAGAAGCACCGGCCAACUACGUGCCAGCCGCCGCCGUAA
rnacentral:rRNA from 1 species